rnacentral:rRNA from 1 species
GAUGAACGCUGGCGGCGUGCCUAAUACAUGCAAGUCGAGCGAACAGACGAGGAGCUUGCUCCUCUGACGUUAGCGGCGGACGGGUGAGUAACACGUGGAUAACCUACCUAUAAGACUGGGAUAACUUCGGGAAACCGGAGCUAAUACCGGAUAAUAUAUUGAACCGCAUGGUUCAAUAGUGAAAGACGGUUUUGCUGUCACUUAUAGAUGGAUCCGCGCCGCAUUAGCUAGUUGGUAAGGUAACGGCUUACCAAGGCAACGAUGCGUAGCCGACCUGAGAGGGGGUACGGCGACACUGGAACUGAGACACGGUCCAGACUCCUACGGGAGGCAGCAGUAGGGAAUCUUCGGCAAUGGGCGAAAGCUUGACGGAGCAGCGCCGCGUGGAUGAAGAAGGUCUUCGGGUCGUAAGACGCUGUUAGUGUUGAAGAACGAAUGUAGAAGGAACGAAGCACGUCUUGACGGUACCUGAUCAGGAAGCCACGGCUAACUACGUG